UCUCCCUCCAGAAUUCUUGGCCUGAAUCCUAACCCUAAUUCUGAACUUAGGGUUUGGGAUUUUGGUUUUACCGGUGCUGAUAAUACGAGGUGGAUUUCAUAAUCGUGUUUUCGUUUUUGGGGGAAGAGUGAUUGAUUCAUCAUAGGAAAUGACGAUGUUAAUGAGGAGUUGCACGCAAUCGUUGCUGAAACUGGUUAAUUCUUUCACUGGGAUGUGUGGGUUCGCGACGAUUCUGUAUGCUUUAUGGAUGAUUAGGAUUUGGCACCGCCAAGCAAACGACUCCUAUCAUCCUGCUUCUUGGUUCAUGUAUACUAUCCUUGGACUUGGUGCAAUUCUAUGUGCAAUAACAUGCUGGGGACAUAUUGCUGCAGAGACAGCAAAUGGUUGCUGCCUUUAUUUUUAUCUCGUCUUUGUCCUUUUGAUCCUAAUACUGGAAGGUGCAGUCACAAUGGACGUAUUCUUAAAUCCAAAGUGGGAAGAGGACUUCCCGCAGGACCCAAGUGGAAACUUCCACAAGUUGAAGGAUUUUAUGAAGGAGAACGUGGACAUGUGCAAAUGGGUUGGCUUGUCUAUUCUUUCUGUUCAGGGGCUGUCUAUGGUUUUGGCUCUUAUUCUCAUAGCUCUUGGGCCACACCGAAUAAGCUACAAUAAUGAUGAUGAGUAUACUCCAGAAGGGGUUCCAUUGCUGAAGAAUUAUUCAAAUCAGUCCCCUUGUGUCUAUGGAUCCAAGAUCGAUGCUUGGAACAGUUAGGUCAAUAUGAGGCCGUUACAUAGCAGCAUUACGUGGCAGCUCUGAAGAAUGAGAUAAGCGGGUUCUAGACAUCUAGCUACAUAUGAAAACAAGGCCAAAUAAACAGAACACACAUGAAGUGCAGGUAGAGGAAACUGAUCAAACUCGGUUAACCGGUGGCUGCAUCCAACAAGGGGAAGAUCUUGAGACAUCUUUUUUACGGAUACACAUGUAAGCCUUUGUUAUCUUUCGCUGUACAUAUAUAUAUAAUGCUGCAAAAUAAAGUAGCAUCUUGAUCAAUUUGUAUGAUGUAUGUGUAUUUCUUCUUAAUAAUAACGCAUGCCAUGUAUUUCUUGUAUGUAGA